GGCUCUGUGGCCUAAUGGAUAAGGCGUCGGCCUCCGGAACCGAGGGUGUGGGUUCGAGUCCCGUCAGAGUCG
rnacentral:tRNA from 1 species